CGUUCAACACCAUCUGGCGGUCCGCUUUUCGCCUGAGGCAUUGUGGGUAAUGCUUAUGGCGGCAGCGUCUUGACAACAGGGAUGUGAUGUCUCAGUUAUUUGACCGAUUAAUUCGUUUAACUGUUAAUAGAGGAUGUGUCAAUAUGCAUUCAUCAAGAACAAUUCAUUACUACUCGGCUUUUCUUAGAUAUGUAGCAUUUCAAGUGGUUUUAAAUUACAUAAAGGAGUUUUGCCGUGCAGUUAGAACCGUGAAAUAAGGAAAGGGUAGUACUUUUUUCGCUGAAGAGAGAUGAGUAAAUGAAACUAACUGAUGGCUUAAGAUGAGUUAGAAGCUCAUACCUUAAUGAAAGGAUCCUUUCGGUGAAGGUAUGAUUGCAUAUUUAGGAAGGAGAAGCCAAGCACAUGCCAAGACCCUGAGAAAGCUCCAUGAAGAUUGCCAUUGUAGGGAAGAUAUAAUCAUGUUCACUGGAUGACUUUCUAAAUGAUAAGAAAUAAGCGGGGGAGAGCACAGGAAUAGCACAGGGAUUGAGUUACUCAUGGAUAUGUUAAGAAAAUCUUUGAAUUACCUCACCUAGUUACCAACAGCAUACAUGGACAAGGAGGUGCUUUAUAGACGAGUUAACAAUGCUGUCCACAGGAAAAUCACACCUUAACUUUGUUAGGAAGAACUUGGCGGCAAUAUGUCAAUCCUUCAAGGGUGUCUCACGGAGCCAUUGGCCUCAAGCACCAGCUUGAAAAGCAUCCUUGCUUGGAGAUGUAAUGCUGCAAAUGAAUGCUAAUUCCAUGCCAUUCAUAAAAGCUAUGGCAUCAAAGGAAACAAUCGUUCCCUUUUAGAGAUAACCUUGGAAUGAGUGCUCAAACACAGUCCAUCACAUCUGCUUCAAAGUUGGAAGCCAAAAUCUUGAUCCCUCCACAACCAUGCCCAUGACAGGCUUAACUACCAAGAAGGAUCAUCCCAAACAAUAGACAAAUUAAUGUAUGUUAUAAUUUACAUCAAAUGAUUGAAUUUUUUCCAAUGUAACAAAAUAGGUAUCCCUUCUUAAUGAAAAAAUGAGUUGAAGCUACAUGUAGUGCUUCUAUUGAUUUUAAAAAUGCUUUUUGUUAUGAAUAUUUUUAAAGAUCCAUAAAAGUCUGUGUUCUUCCAGAAGUCAGCUCUGAGAAUUUAACAAGAUGUCAUUGUUGAUUAUCCAUAAGCUUGUAACAAUAGAUUGUAUUGUCUUAUCUCUAUCAGGAAAGUGAAUCGUAGUAUAUUUCUUUCAAAAUAUUGUAUCAGUUUUCUUUAUCUGAUUUUAUGCCAAGUUGUAAAUAUGUCAUUAAAGAUGAAAGCUUGCAAUUUGUUCAUCAUUUUUUCCCCCUUGCGUAUAAAGAAUUCAUUAUUUAAUUAAUUUUAACCGUCUGAACAUUAUGAGUUUGUCUUUGAAAUUUCGAAGUUCCCCAAAAUGUCAUGAAUAAGCAGAAUUUUCUUGAUUAUAAUUCCAAAAAACCCUAUCACUUUGUACAAACUCCCUUUCUUUCAGUAUGCAUUCAACUCAAAAUUGGAUUUAUCAGUAUCUGUCAGAAAUUUUCAUGUGUACCAAAUGAGAAAGGCAUCUUUCAUUAAAGACUUUUGCAUCCAUAGCCCAUAGGGGAUUAAAAGUAUUAAUGAUAAAUUCAUAUGUACUACAAAGUAAUUAUUCUUUGAAAAAGCUGAGCUUUUCUGCUGUAAAGUUUUUCAGGAGUCUCAUGUCUCAAAUCUUGUAAUGUACCGAGAACCAAAGAGUGCUUGUAUAUAAUGUAUAUUUACUGUAAAAUACAAAGCCAAAUAAUUUAUAUCCAUGUUGUAUUCUUAUUUAGCUUUAUUUUUAGGCUUUUUGAAUAGUUUUAGAAUGCUUGGGAAAAAGUACAUUCAUGCAAAACCAUCAUAAAUUUUGCUGUAACACAUUUGUAUAAUUUACAUAAUGAAAGCUUAAUACAUUAAAAUGAAAUUAAUAUGCAUGCGAAUGAGAUAAGACUGCUAAAUACUAGUAUUUUCAGUAAGUUUAAACCCAAGUUGAUAGGCUGACUAUAUCAGCAUUUUCAUAGUUUUCCAUAUGUGUAAUGCAAUGCGAAUGAGUCAUUUGGCCUUAGAAAAUCCUCCAUAAAGGCAUCCAUUCCAUUUGGCAAAUAUCUGUUGUAUCCUUGUUUUGAUGUAAUCAGUUAAAUAAAAUGCAUUUAUUACUGAUAAAAAUAAUGUUUGAAACUGUUAAUGCCAUAGCUUUUUUGGAAACGUUCACAUGUUUAGGUAUUUAGAGGGAUAAGAAUGUGUAGGCUGACUGCCUUUAUCGUGUGAAGGUGUAAGGUUCUAUGUUUAAAAAAAAUGAAACAUUCUGUUUUACUAAAUAAAUAAAAUUGGAAUUUAAUUCACUUUAAUUUCAAGAUAACAUAGUAUAUAUUUUACUGGAAUGUUAAUUUAUCUCUCCUUUUGUCACAAAAGUAAAGUUGGUUUGAAUGCCUAGCUGGCAUCAGACCACAUUCACAAAAGUAAAUUAAAUUUGCCAUUUAUCUUUCAUAGGGCUCAUUCAGGAAGAAAAAGCAUAUUGUUUGAAUUUCAUUACCCUUCAUGCCUUCCUCCCAAAAAAUUAAGAAAUAAAUUGGAUUUGUAAUAAAAUUGUGAAAGUUGUUUAUCCUUA